UAGCGUAGGGCGCAAGCGUUAUCCGGAAUUAUUGGGCGUAAAGAGCUCGUAGGCGGUCUGUCGCGUCGGCUGUGAAAUCCCGAGGCUCAACCUCGGGUCUGCAGUCGAUACGGGCAAACUAGAGUAUUGCAGGGGAGACUGGAAUUCCUGGUGUAGCGGUGAAAUGCGCAGAUAUCAGGAGGAACACCGGUGGCGAAGGCGGGAUCCUGGGCCAGUACUGACGCUGAGGAGCGAAAGCGUGGGGAGCAAACAGG
rnacentral:rRNA from 1 species